rnacentral:rRNA from 1 species
AUUGAACGCUAGCGGGAUGCCUUACACAUGCAAGUCGAACGGAGUGGCGAACGGGUGAGUAAUGUAUCGGAACGUGCCCAGUAGCGGGGGAUAACUACGCGACAGCGUAGCUAAUACCACAUACUAUUGGAGCGGCCGAUAUCGGAUUAGAUAGUUGGUGGGGUAACGGCUCACCAGGGCGACGAUCCGUAGCUGGUUUGAGAGGACGACCAGCCACACUAGGACGGAGACACGGCACAGAAUCCUACGGGAGGCAGCAUGGGGGAAUUUUGGCCAAUGGGGGAAACCCUGAGCCAGCCAUCCCGCGUGUGCGAUGAAGGCCUUCGGGUUGUAAAGCACUUUUGGCAGGAAAGCGGUACCUGCAGAAUAAGCACCGGCUAACUACGUGCCAGCAGCCGCGGUAAUAC